UACUACGUCAAUGAAGAAUAUUUCUACCAUGCAAGGUCAAUAGUUGAUAAAAUAUUUUGGCUCCGGAGCAGCGCCGCGGCGUUUCUCCCAUCGCCGCCUGGAUUCAUUGAUCAUCACCUUCGUUAGCUCGAAGUCUCGGUGGGUCGUUUCGCACUAGCGAGUUUGCUGCUGAGAUGCGUGACAAUGGGGUGAGCACUUCCCAGUGUGGUUUUCUGGAUUUUUUCGGGGUGAGUCAUGACACGGCGUCACUCGUUCUAGGAUUCGUUUCUGAUUCACGCCAAAAAUAAAAUAAAAUAAAAGCUUUUAAUGCAAAGCUACACUUGCGUCCCUUCUUUGCUUGGUUCACAAUCGGUUCGUUUCCGUUGCUUCGUUCGAUGAUUUGGUCUUCGGCUCUGAAGCUGCUCUUGAAUUCUCCUCAGCGGUCGGUGGGCUUUGUUGGGCUUGGUCUCGUCGUACUGCGGGCAGGGUUGAUUAUCCCGAGUGUGAUCGUUGCUGGUGCUUAGUCUCUGUGUGCGUUGCAUUGUAUUACCUUGGUAUUUGCCGAUAGCUGCUGGUGCUGGUCUUAUCAGCCUGUUCUUGAAGAAGGGAAAUGUUCUCACUUCGUCCGAUACUGUUGAGAACGCAUAUUCUUGUGAAUGGCAAGACCAGAGGUGUGUAGUUUAGCGAUGUCCCUGUUCCGAUAUGUUACAAUCUGUAGGCUGGAGAUUCCUUGUGCCCUGUUAAGGACGUUUGAUGGUUCAUUGAGUAACCCCGUUGGUCCCUGUGAUUAUCCUCGCUCAAAAACCUCGAACUUAGCACAAAAGUUCAAGGUUUCAUCUAACCUCAGGGGAAUGUGAAAAAAUUGCUGAACAUUAUUGGGCAAACAGUCGACCAAACAUAUUUAAUGAAGCGAGUAGUGCAUGUUCACAAAAUUAUGAGAAUGUUUGUACUCGCGAUGAUGGUAGAUUCUUCGGAGUCUUGGCGUUGUGUGUAACCUUGAAGAGCAGGAAAUGAAGCUGUAAUUGUAUUAGGGUUCUAACACAUCUCUUGUUAGUAGGAAGUGUUUAUUUGUUAAAUUCCGUUGAAAAUGCUAUAUCAAUAUUGUACUCUUUUGCUAUGCUUCGUGCUUGAGAAACCUAUAAAAUGGGGAUCUUCAAUUGAGAUUCUUGCUCCAGGAUCACCACUCCAAGCAGAGAGAGAGAGAGAGAGAGAGAGAGAGAGCUGCAAUUACCUCUGAAAACCUAACUGCAGAGUGGGAGAAUGUAGAUCCUAUCGUUAUAGGUUGGGAUAAGUGCUCACUCCUCCCUCAGCCUUGGUGUUGGAAUUCAAUGCCUUAAGCCAUUUACAAUCAUUUCACAGGCAAGAACAUAAGAUUUUUUUUCAUGCAUCUAUCCGUUCCAAAGGUUUGUUGUCUCGACUUAAGGCUGCGAUGCAUGUAGCCGGAAUAUAUUGUUUCUGGGUCGACUUCUCUUUUGAAGGGCCUAUAAUGAACAUGAUAUUAUGGUGGACACCACAGAUAUCGAUCAAGUGACUGUUAAACACAAUAUAUUCCGGCUACCCCUGUAUUCUCAAGAGUUGAGUAACUGGACAGAAAAGGGCGUCCUUCAGAUGAGUGCGGAAAUCUGGCCAUAAAGCAUGCUGCUAAGGCGGUGCUGUCAAUUGUGAGGCAGGACAAUCGAAGAGUUUCGAAUUUGAAACCUGCCCCACAAUGGUCUGUAACAUCUUCCAGAUGAACCUGAAACACAAAUCUGGCGAGUGGUGGUACUGUUCUGUGCUCUACAAGCUGGAACGAACUUGAUGAACUUCUAUUUCCAGUGUACUAUUUUGGCACCUUCUCAGGAGACCCUUGGCGCUGUACGACACAACGCAAGGGACUCGGGAGUUUCUACCUUGUUAUGCAGGAACCACCGGGCAGGCAAAAGGAUUGGCUGGGCUAUGCCAAGUGAAAGGAAUCGAGAGCUCCGGUUUUAAUAUGGAUCAAGAGCUCCUUCGAAAGCAGAGCAACAGGAAUGGGCUUAUUUUGACUCAGAUUUGAACACCAGUUUUUUGCAGCAUUCUGGGGUGGAAUAUUGGAUACUCGUGCAUGAAAAGCUCGGCGACUUUGGAGGUUUAUGUGGAAAUAUGCCUUGGAAAAAAAAGCAGAAAACAGGUAACAGUUGACGCUUCUCCAUCACCUUAUGCACAGUAGUAAUGCGUUUGUCCUCGAUCUGGUCAUGAAGCUGUCAACAGGAAUUUGAAGGCAGAUGGGGAGACCAAGCAUAUGUUUGGACAGCAGGGCGACUGGGCUAUGAAUUCCCUCCCUCAUUCAUAUAUAUAUAUAUAUAUAUAUAUGUGUGUAUGUGUGUGUGUGUGUUAAAUUACAACUAGAUAGUAAAGACCUGACAUUUCAAACUUUACAGUGUAUGUUGUUUUUUGGCUCGGCUGUAGAGGAAUAAUGCAGCAUGAGUAUGUCUGUGGGCAGAGUAUUUGCUCAUUUUAUCCCACUGUCGAUGUUAUUUAAUUGUUAUGCAAUCCAUGUACAAAUGUUCUAUGUGA